AUUGAACGCUGGCGGCAUGCUUUACACAUGCAAGUCGAACGGCAGCGGGGGCUUCGGCCUGCCGGCGAGUGGCGAACGGGUGAGUAAUGCAUCGGAACGUGCCCAUGUCGUGGGGGAUAACGUAUCGAAAGUUACGCUAAUACCGCAUAAGCCCUGAGGGGGAAAGUGGGGGACCGCAAGGCCUCACGCGAAUGGAGCGGCCGAUGUCAGAUUAGCUAGUUGGUGGGGUAAAGGCUCACCAAGGCGACGAUCUGUAGCGGGUCUGAGAGGACGACCAGCCACACUGGGACUGAGACACGGCCCAGACUCCUACGGGAGGCAGCAGUGGGGAAUUUUGGACAAUGGGCGCAAGCCUGAUCCAGCAAUGCCGCGUGCAGGAAGAAGGCCUCGGUUGUAACU
rnacentral:rRNA from 1 species